GAAAGAGAAAAAGAGAAGAAGAAAAGAAGAAAGAAAAGGAAGAAGAAGGAAGAAGAAGAAAAAAUGAUGGCAAUACCAACAUGGACCUUAAAGUUCUUCCUUAAUUACUUCAGGUGGUGGCGAAGAGAUGGGAAAAACUUGUCGACCAUCAUGACCAUUAGCUUGUUUAGAACAAACAUCAGUCAAAUUGAGUAGCUUUGGAGCUAUCGAAGUAAUGAAUUGAGCCACGCAUUAUAGGUUGUAUGAUAUCCUUUAUUGGAUUAUACAUUAUGUGUUCUUUUGGAAUACAUGUAGUUUAAAUCCAAAAUGUUCGUUUUGGGCUCAUUAAAUAUUUGGCAUCUUUAGUAUAUUUGAGGAUUGUUGGUUGUAACACAAGUAAAUAUUGAAUAGCCAGCAUUUUAUUUGAAUAGUUUGUAUUUUGAGGGACUGAGGUACCUUGAUUUAUAUUAUAGAUAUUGAUUUGAGGAAAAUUGGUUAUUGUUCAGGUGGUUUUAGUUCGUAUUUUAGAUGAAACUUUGUCACAAUUUUGUUAAAAAUAUUUUUUAAUCAGACAAGUCAGGGUUGCCUUGGUGGUAGGUCCGACAUUUAGUUAGUUACCAUCGACGUACAACACGUGUCGGAUCCAUUAAGGUGAUUCGAGACAGGUCGUGUCAUCAAUGGCUUCUAAGCGUGAGAAAGUUGGUUCCAAUUAAGUCUGAAUUAAUGAAAAAGGUUACUCCCUUUUCACGUGCUACUGCAUAUUGUCUGUUGUUCAUUGCAGGAGCUACAACUGUUGUGAGACUCUUACCGAAGUGACUAUGGGAACCUCUAGACCACACUUGCAGGUUUUAGGAUGUGAUUUUUUAUUUAAAGUCAUAAUUCACUUGUAUUGGACCAUACAGUUGUAGGCU